AGGAUGAACGCUGGCGGUCUGCUUAACACAUGCAAGUCGAACGGGCGUAGCAAUACGUUAGUGGCGGACGGGUGAGUAACGCGUGAGAAUCUACCUUCAGGACGGAGACAACAGUUGGAAACGACUGCUAACCCCCGAUGUACUGAAAAGGCAAAUAUUUAUAGCCUGAAGAAGAGCUCGCGUCCGAUUAGCUAGUUGGAGAGGUAAAAGCUCACCAAGGCGACGAUCGGUAGCUGGUCUGAGAGGACGAUCAGCCACACUGGGACUGAGACACGGCCCAGACUCCUACGGGGGGCAGCAGUGAGGAAUUUUCGUCAAUGGGGGCAACCCUGAACGAGCAACGCCGCGUGCAGGAAGAAGGUUUUCGGAUCGUAAACUGCUUUUCUCGGGGAAGAGAACGGACGGUACCCGAGGAAUCAGCCCCGGCUAACUACGUGCCAGCAGCCGC
rnacentral:rRNA from 1 species